rnacentral:rRNA from 1 species
AUACGGAGGAUCCGAGCGUUAUCCGGAUUUAUUGGGUUUAAAGGGUGCGCAGGCGGGAGAUUAAGUCGGCGGUGAAAUUUUGCAGCUCAACUGUAAAAGUGCCUUCGAAACUGGUUCCCUUGAGUGUAGAUGAAGUAGGCGGAAUUUGUGGUGUAGCGGUGAAAUGCAUAGAUAUCACGAGGAACUCCGAUUGCGCAGGCAGCUUACUAAACUACUACUGACGCUCAGGCACGAAGGCGUGGGGAUCAAACAGGAUUAGAUACCCUGGUAGUCCACGCAGUAAACGAUGAUUACUAGCUGUUUGCGAUACAAUGUAAGCGGCUGAGCGAAAGCGUUAAGUAAUCCACCUGGGGAGUACGCCGGCAACGGUGAAACUUAAAGGAAUUGACGGGG